rnacentral:rRNA from 1 species
GAUGAACGCUAGCUACAGGCUUAACACAUGCAAGUCGAGGGGAAACGAUAUUGGAAGCUUGCUUCCGAUAGGCGUCGACCGGCGCACGGGUGAGUAACGCGUAUCCAACCUGCCCAUCACUUGGGGAUAACCUUGCGAAAGUAAGACUAAUACCCAAUGACGUCUCUAGAAGACAUCUGAAAGAGAUUAAAGAUUUAUCGGUGAUGGAUGGGGAUGCGUCUGAUUAGCUUGUUGGCGGGGUAACGGCCCACCAAGGCGACGAUCAGUAGGGGUUCUGAGAGGAAGGUCCCCCACAUUGGAACUGAGACACGGUCCAAACUCCUACGGGAGGCAGCAGUGAGGAAUAUUGGUCAAUGGACGAGAGUCUGAACCAGCCAAGUAGCGUGCAGGAUGACGGCCCUAUGGGUUGUAAACUGCUUUUAUAAGGGAAUAAAGUGGGAGUCGUGACUCUUUUUGCAUGUACCUUAUGAAUAAGGACCGCUAAUUCCGUGCCAGCAGCCG